CAUGCAAGUCGAACGCGAAAGUCUCCUUCGGGGGGCGAGUAGAGUGGCGAACGGGUGAGUAAUCCAUCGAUAACCUGCCUUCGUGUGGGGGAUAGCCACGGGAAACCGUGGGUAAUACCGCAUGACACCAGCUGGUCUCCUGACUGGCUGGUCAAAGUCUUCGGACGCGUGGAGAGGGGUCGAUGGCGUAUCAGCUUGUUGGUGGGGUAACGGCCCACCAAGGCUAUGACGCGUAGCGGGACUGAGAGGUUGGCCCGCCACACCGGAACUGAGACACUGUCCGGACACCUACGGGUGGCUGCAGUCGAGAAUCUUCGGCAAUGGGCGCAAGCCUGACCGAGCGACGCCGCGUGCGGGAGGAAGGCCUCCGGGUCGUAAACCGCUUUCAGGGGGUAUGAAUAAGCCUUCGGGUGAUGACGUCAACCCCAGAAGAAGCCCCGGCUAAACUCGUGCCAGCAGCCGCGGUAAUACGAGUGGGGCAAACGUUGUUCGGAAUCACUGGGCAUAAAGGGCGUGUAGGCGGUCCGAGUAGUCAUGGUUGAAAUCCCGCGGCUCAACCGCGGAACAGGCUGUGAAACUGGCGGACUAGAGGAUGGCAGGGGGGUGUGGAACGAUCGGUGGAGCGGUGAAAUGCGUAGAUAUCGGUCGGAACACCGGUGGCGAAGGCGACACCCUGGGCCAUUCCUGACGCUGAGGCGCGAAAGCGUGGGGAGCAAACAGGAUUAGAUACCCUGGUAGUCCACGCCGUANACGAUGGGCACUAGGAGGGGGUCCUUCUCCGGGAUCCCUUUCGGAGCAAAUGUCUUAAGUGCCCCGCCUGGGGAGUACGCGCGCAAGCGUGAAACU
rnacentral:rRNA from 1 species